GUAGAGAUUUUGUUUUCGCAAUGCGCGCCAUUUCUGCAAAACAAUUUUUCGGUGAAUUCUUUAUGCAGUCGAGAGGACCCUUAAAUAUCUGGGAUGGUGCUCUUCCACGGUUCCGGCAAUUAUCCUGAGAUUACCCCCCGAUCGGCGGUAGCGGCAGUGGGAAACAAGCUGCCGUCGGAAAGGUGCUUCAAUAUUCGAGGAGGGCUGGACUGGAAGAUUUGUCCCAACUAGCGGUUGAUAUCGGGGACUCCGACAAGACCAGGAGCAUCUGCUGUCUGGCGGAUUUGGUAUAUGACGAGCGGUUUCCGAUCCACCGUGUCGUCAAUGAAUAUGGUCAUCACGCACCAAUGAGGUACACCACAUUGAUCACGCACCACUCGCAGCAGGUCGGUAGGAGCUGCUCUCGAGAAACCAUCAGCUUCAUCGAGGGCGCCGUCAUGAGCGAGCUUAAGCCUCGGGAAUUGGCAAAUCUGAAAAUCCGGGCUACAGCAGGUAGCCCGGAUUCCAAUAGUGGUUUUCUAAAAUUGUGAAAAACAGUGUAAAAGUGAAAAUUUGUGGAAAGAAAAACUUAUGUGACAAUAAUAGUGUUUUAAAACAUUAAUAAAAUGUGUUCUUUUGAAUAGUUUUCUUCCUUUUUUGUUCAAGUGACUCGCAAUAAAAAUUAAUCAGUUUGUUAAAGUUGUUCCUUGUUUUAGGGAAUAUUA